UAGUAUAAUUUUAGCAAGUAGAAAAACACUUUAGUAUGAAAAAGUGUGUAUAAUCCGCUACCACGUAGACUACUGUCUGACCCAUAGCAUAAUAAAAUCUCAUGACCUAACCUCCGAAAUAGCACUCGCGGGGCGCUACCCCAACCGAGUAUAGUAUUACUAUCAAACUAAACAUGGCAUGUAGGUUGUGGUCAAAUACGAUUAUCAAAUAGAUACUAUCAUAGUAUCUAAAAUACAGUUAUAGUCUCACACUAUCUGUAGCUGUUUAUUAACUUUUAAAAAAAUAUCACAUAAAUAUAUGUCUCAAUUUACUUUACUGAUAGAUAUCAAAAUAUUACUAUUAUCUCAACUACGUCAACAGUUCAUCUCACAAGCUAAAUAAUAUUAUAUGUACAUAGAAAUUAGUCCACCAAUUUUGACAAUACAGAACUCACUUAUAACGCAAGUACGAGAGACAGAAUAGCAGCCACAAUACUUUAAAAGAACUUAAAAAUCCCUCAUCAAAAUUACGCGAAAUCCGCUCCUACAAUCUAUAAAAGAAAAUCAAUUUCUAAUUCUCAAUUUCUAUCAAAAAAAUAUCAAAAAAGUUUAAACGAGAAAUAAUAAUAUUGUGAUACUAAUUGCAAUGUUGAAACACCAAAAAAAUAUAUGUGUGUGCGCUUGACUCACUCGCUUGUUACAAAGAAACCAAACUUUUUCUU
rnacentral:lncRNA from 1 species